GGGGCGGGGCCGGCGCCAGGGCGCGUGCGCGGGCCGCCGCGGGCGGGAGCUCAGUGCGGUGUGUGGCGGCUGCGGGGCGGCGCCUCCCGCUUUUGCUCCGUGGCUCGGCGGCGGCCCGGGCGCUGGGGGCCGGGAGGGCGGCGGCAGGAGCAUAAAACUGAAGAGGAAGACCACCCAUCACAUCAUCUCAGCAGCUCCACUUUCUCUGCCACAACAUAAAGAGCAACACUCGUAUUUUUUUUCCCACUUCAAAUGACAGCACAGCUUUAAGCCGUGUUCCUCCAUGUUUGCCAAAGCGUUUCCAAGUCUUAGGCGUCUGGUUUUUCAAAGAGCAGGUGAAAAGCUUAGCUCCCAGUGAAAUGCAUGAAGUCUGAAAAAGAGGUCAUCUCAGAAACCUUUUAUCUAACACAUCUUUAAAGAAGCUAUUUCUCUCCAUGUCUGGUAGCACCCGUUGCCAGUCGAGACAAGAAAAGAGCACUUGUGGGAAGGGGAUGCGCUGGUUCUGCUCAGCGGAGCAUCCGGAGAGGAGGACAGAGUCUCUCAGGAAGAGCCUGAAGCCUUGCCGUAAGGACACGGGACACAUCAAAUGGUGCACAACAUACAGACAGAGCCAUGAAUCCACCUGGUCUUCACUUUCUGACUUCUGAUCUAAUGAAAAUGCUAAACAAGGCAGGAUUUGCUAGGACCUUCCUGAGAGCAUCACAGACCCGAGGCGGACACCUUGGCUGGGCUGGGCCGGAGCCGACGAGCAGGGGGCGAAAACUCCCCAUUUCACGACAAACCUCUGCAGCCGCCCCAUCCAUCCUGUCAGCACAACGUUGGACUCUGCUUCGGGGAGCCCCUUCUCCAUCCUUCUUCAAAGGAAGGUGCGUUUCCUCCUUACCGGGGUUCUGCGAGAAAGAAGAGCUACACUGUAAAAAACCACUGCUAUCACUGCUAGAUAAAAACAACCGUGUUGUUUUAAAGGAAAUAAAGCACAGAACACAACUGCCAAGUGAACUCCUUGGCGGUCAGCUGGA